rnacentral:rRNA from 1 species
UACGUAGGGGGCAAGCGUUGUCCGGAAUCAUUGGGCGUAAAGCGCGUGUAGGCGGCCCGGUAAGUCCGCUGUAAAAGUCCAGGGCUCAACCCUGGAAAGCCGGUGGAUACUGUCGGGCUCGAGUCCGGAAGAGGCGAGUGGAAUUCCUGGUGUAGCGGUGAAAUGCGCAGGAUAAUCAGGAGGAACACCAAUGGCGAAGGCAGCUCGCUGGGACGGUACUGACGCUGGAGACGCGAAAGCGUGGGGAGCGAACAGG